GUGCUCGAUUUGGCAGCACAUAGGCUAAAAUUGGAACGAUACAGAGAAGAUUAGCACGGCCUUUGUGCAAGGAUGACACGCAAAUUCGUGAGGCGCUCCAUAUUUUU
rnacentral:snRNA from 1 species